GAAAGUAAAAUGAUUUAUUUGGUUGUUUGGAUUUGGCUCUAUAAUGUGCACACAUCGCCCGUCGCUCUCACGAUAAGUGAGAUAAGUCGUAACAUAGUAGAUGUAUUGGAAAAUGUAUCUAGUAAGAC
rnacentral:rRNA from 1 species